UACGUAGGGUGCGAGCGUUGUCCGGAAUUAUUGGGCGUAAAGAGCUCGAGGGCGGCUGGUCACGUGGGGGGUGAAAGCCCGGGGCUUAACCCCGGGUCUGCAUUCGAUACGGGCAGGCUAGAGUGUGGUAGGGGAGAUCGGAAUUCCUGGUGUAGCGGUGAAAUGCGCAGAUAUCAGGAGGAACACCGGUGGCGAAGGCGGAUCUCUGGGCCAUUACUGACGCUGAGGAGCGAAAGCGUGGGGAGCGAACAGG
rnacentral:rRNA from 1 species